GGGCUUGUAGCUCAGCUAGGCAGAGCAAUCGGCUCUUAACCGAUUGGCCUGGGGUUCGAAUCCCCACAAGCCCG
rnacentral:tRNA from 1 species